rnacentral:rRNA from 1 species
UUGACCUCGGAUUAGGUAGGAAAUACCCGCUGAACUUAAGCAUAUCAAUAAGCGGAGGA